AAUCUCACACUAAGGAAAUCUCACACCAAGGAAGACCUAACUCUCUAAAUGUCUAACUGUCUAAGAUUCAAAUCUUAUCAAGUGAUAGUAAUUGUAACUUGUACUUGUAAUUAAGGAUCCUCUUAUUCUACCCCUACUUCCAAAUAUUAAGCUCGUAAAAUCUGGACUAAAAAAAUCGUGAGGGAAACUUGGGACAUUCACAUUUGGGUAGAAAGAAUAGAAAGAGAGAGAAAAGGGCCUACUCAGCUGGUCUAUACUCUUCCUAGUCUCCUACACAAACAAAAAAUUUCGCCUCAUUGUUUUGCUGUCUCUCUCACAAAUUUGUUCUGUGUUGCCUCUGAAAUCGUGCAAAGCCUAAAGACCAGCUGCACAGCAUCAAUCUCUCUGCAAAACCACCCUUUCAUUAAACAACACAAACUGCUAAACAACAAUUUUUCUCAUUCAUUACUCUCCGAUCCUCUGUUAUCUCAUUUAAAAUCCAACCUUCAUUUUUUGAGUUUUUUCUUUCUUUUCCUUCUCUCUCUUAGGGUUUGAAUAUGGUGUUUUUCUCUAAUUUUGAAGAUGCCCAUUUCCCCAAACUUGCUCAAUUUCUCUUUUGCUUGAAAACCCAUCAUUUCUUGGAGUUUUUAGCAAAUGGGUUUGCGCUUAAUUGGUCCAGCAAGAGCCACAGAGACCUGGUAACACAACAGCGAGUACCUUGCGGUACUUUGUUAACGUUGAACUUAAUGGUUUGACAUUGCAUUGAUUUGAAUUGGAGGAAGUGGUGCAAGGGUGGGGUAGGGGGAAUGAAGCAAUUGGUCCGUGGAACUCUGGUAUGUAUAUCGAAAUUUUCUGUAAAGUAUUGGUACACUUUUAUUUAUCUAAAUUACAGCUAAAAUGCUGCGAUUCAUGUAUUUAUGGAGCUGUGUCACCAUAGCCAUUUUAGAACUUAUGUAUUGGUUAUUCUGGGGUGAUAUUUUUUGGAUAUGUUCUAGGUUGUUAUCAGGAAAAGAAAUUAAGUUUCUCAUAUUUUCUGCA